AAUGGCUCAGUAAAUCAGUUAUCGUUUAUUUGAUAGUACCUUACUACUUGGAUAACCGUGGUAAUUCUAGAGCUAAUACAUGCCAAAAACCCCGACUUCGGGAGGGGUGUAUUUAUUAGAUAAAAAGCCAAUGCCCUCUGGGCUCUUUGGUGAUUCAUGAUAACUCAGCGGAUCGCAUGGCCUUGCGCCGGCGACGGUUCAUUCAAAUUUCUGCCCUAUCAACUUUCGAUGGUAAGGUAUUGGCUUACCAUGGUCUCAACGGGUAACGGGGGAUUAGGGUUCGACUCCGGAGAGGGAGCCUGAGAAACGGCUACCACAUCCAAGGAAGGCAGCAGGCGCGCAAAUUACCCAAUCCCGACACGGGGAGGUAGUGACAAUAAAUACUGAUACAGGGCUCUUUUGGGUCUUGUAAUCGGAAUGAGUACAAUUUAAAUCCCUUAACGAGGAACAAUUGGAGGGCAAGUCUGGUGCCAGCAGCCGCGGUAAUUCCAGCUCCAAUAGCGUAUAUUAAAGUUGUUGCAGUUAAAAAGCUCGUAGUUGAACCUUGGGCCUGGCUGGCCGGUCCGCCUCACCGCGUGCACUGGCACGGCCGGGCCUUUCCUCCUGGAGAGCCCCAUGCCCUUCGCUGGGCGUGCGGGGGAACCAGGACUUUUACUUUGAAAAAAUUAGAGUGUUCAAAGCAGGCCUUUGCUCGAAUACAUUAGCAUGGAAUAAUGAAAUAGGACGCGCGGUCCUAUUUUGUUGGUUUCUAGGAUCGCCGUAAUGAUUAAUAGGGACAGUCGGGGGCAUCCGUAUUCAAUUGUCAGAGGUGAAAUUCUUGGAUUUAUUGAAGACGAACUACUGCGAAAGCAUUUGCCAAGGAUGUUUUCAUUAAUCAGUGAACGAAAGUUAGGGGAUCGAAGACGAUCAGAUACCGUCGUAGUCUUAACCGUAAACUAUGCCGACUAGGGAUCGGGCGAUGUUAUUAUCUUGACUCGCUCGGCACCUUACGAGAAAUCAAAGUUUUUGGGUUCUGGGGGGAGUAUGGUCGCAAGGCUGAAACUUAAAGAAAUUGACGGAAGGGCACCACCAGGC
rnacentral:rRNA from 1 species